GCACGAAGGCCAGCAGCUCCUUCAGCACCUUGAGGAAAUGGACGGCGAAGGAGUCCGGCAUGGUUCUCCCCGGCGCAGCGGCAGGGCAGUCUCUCCAGGAACCAUGCUUUACAGCUCCAGCUGGAGGCCCUCUAAAAUGCUGAAACUGGAAAACCUACAAAUAUAAGUUGCCUGGAACACCAAAUGCCUCUUCCAGUCUUUUUGGAGGCCGUGCAGUUCACUAGACCUAAAGACACCAUAGCCCACAUACUAUGCUUAGAGCAUGCAACAGACGGCAUUUCCACGUUUCCAAGAUUCAGAUUACAUCUUCCUCGCAGAAGAGGACCUAAUGCAACACAAAUGGCUGAAGAAGGCAAAAAGACUGUUUCUCCAAGCUCUAGCAGAUCUUCCAGAUCUUUGAUCUUGGAGCCAUCUGCUCACGGACAGAAAAGGCUAUGGUGCAAGUGAACUGAGAAUACUCCAGUUUGCAAGAUGACCAACUAACCCUUGUGCUUCACAGAUUACA